UAAAGAGGGACAGAGGGGGGCUUAUUUCUUUUGCCUCACUUGUUUGUGAACUAUGAAAUGAGUCGCAGCAAGAUCUAGCUCAUGAUCUUGUCCAUUAUUCACACUACUGUGGAACACAGAAAAUAUGAUGAAGAAUAUUGGUAACCAAACCAUUUUUGGUGGUCAACUUUUACAAAAAUGUUUUGUGUUCCAUUUUGGGUGAGUAAAUGAUGAGAGACUUAUGAACUACCUGUAUGCCAUUAAAAGUAUCACCUAUAACCUCUUGAACUUAAAAAAUGUACUAAUCUGAUUCUUACGGAAAUAUAUAAUAAUAACAAUAAUAAUAACUGCAAUUGGGAACAUCCUUAUAAAAUGUAUAAAUACAUUCAUAAUUAAUUGUCAUAACUAAAUUACUCACCAAUAACACUGUCGUACUGUUAACACUACUUAUCAUAUUUUAAUAUACUUAAAUAUAGUCAGCAGAAUUUCAUCGGGAUAAUAUCGGUAUUUGUUGAUGAAUGUAAAGUUCUUAAAUUAAAGGUGUCAACAUUUAAAGUUUCAUUUUGUUGAUUUUAUUGUAAUUUCUGUAUGAAUAAACAUUUCCUCAGAAUAUAGUUCAAGUGCAUCUGUUACAUUCUUCCUAUAUUAGCUGACUCGCAUAAGGACCCUGUUUCUGAGCAUGAGAUACGAGCUGAGGGCUAUUGUGUGCUGCCAGCUGAAUGCAGUAGAAUCACAUGAUCCUAGAGGGAGAGAACAACUCCACAACACUGAGACUUUGUGUCUGCUCAGCUGUGUGUAUGUGUGAAGUCUGAUGAGUCAGCGGCAAAUGCUUUUGACCAGCGAUCCACAGAACGAAGAACCUGGGAGAAAAAGAGUAGGAAGAAUGAAAAAAAAAAAAAAAGUUCCAGCGCUGGAUGAAGUGCCGUGCAAGAUCUCUGGCUGCCUUCCCAUGAUGCACUGCACCCAGGUCUCGCCAGGGGAUGCGCGGCACCUGAGUUCUGUCAACAUUGUCUGAGGGGGAAAAAAGCAGAAGCUACACUAUUG